rnacentral:misc_RNA from 1 species
GAUGAAGAACGUAGCGAAAUGCGAUAAGUAAUGUGAAUUGCAGAAUUCAGUGAAUCAUCGAAUCUUUGAACGCACAUUGCGCCCCCUGGCAUUCCGGGGGGCAUGCCUGUUUGAGUAUCAUGAACACCUCAACUCUCAUGGUUUUUCCAUGAUGGGCUUGGACUUUGGGGGUCUUGCUGGCCUAUAGUCAGCUCCUCUUAAAUGAAUCAGCUUGCCAGUGUUUGGUGGCAUCACAGGUGUGAUAACUAUCUACGCUUGUGGUUUUCCAUCAAGUCACCUUCAGCGAUGGAGGUUCGCUGGGGCUCAUAAAGAAGGCCUCUCCUCGGUGAGGAUGGCUCCUUUGAACGUUUGAUCUCAAAUCAGGUAGGACUACCCGCUGAACUUAAGCAUAUCAAUAAGCGGAGGA